rfam:Ixodes scapularis strain Wikel colony gcontig_1107729205038, whole genome shotgun sequence.
CCCUGGUUAGUUCAGUUGGUAGAGCGCUCCACUGGAAAUGGAGAGGUCCGGGAUUCGGUUCCGGACCAGGCG